UACAGGGGGUGCAAACGUUGCUCGGAAUCAUUGGGCGUAAAGCGCACGUAGGCGGUUCGUUAUGUCGGAUGUGAAAGCCCUUGGCUUAACCGAGGAAGUGCAUCCGAAACUGGCGAGCUAGAGUACUAAAGAGGAUCGCGGAAUUCCCGGUGUAGAGGUGAAAUUCGUAGAUAUUGGGAAGAACACCUGAGGCGAAGGCGGGUUGCUGGGCCGACACUGACGCUGAGGCGCGAAAGCCAGGGGAGCAAACGGG
rnacentral:rRNA from 1 species